AUUACUCAUAAAUGUCUUAGCACCAUCCCAUUUGGUACUAUACUCAUGAUAGUGAGUGAGUUCCCAUAAGAUCUGGUUAUUUAAAAGUGUGUAACAACUCGCCCCUCUGUUUUUUGCUCCUGCUUUUUGCCCUGUGAUGUGCAAGAUUCUGCUUCAACUUCUGCCAUGACCGUAAACUUCCAGAGGCCUUCCCAGAAGUGCAUGCCAGUGCUGUCUCUCUACAGCUUGUAGAAUCAUGAGCCACUUAAACCUCCCACCCAGUCUCAGUUCUGGGAGGUGAUCUCUGAUGAACAUGCCAUCGACUCCGCUGGCACCUGCCGUGGGGACAGCCGUCUGCAGCUGGAGCGCAUGGAAGUAUACUACAAAGAGGCCUGCGGUAUGUGCCCCGCCCUGUGCUGGUGGAUUUGGAGCCAGGCAUCAUGGACUCUGUGCGCUCAGGGCCCUUCCGGCAGAUCUUCAGACCGGACAACUUCAUCUUCGGGAGCUGAGUUGGGGCUGUGGAUACUGAGUAUCAACAGUAUCAGGAUGCCACCGCCCAGGAGGAGGAGUUUGAGGAGUAUGCUGAGGAGGAGGCCUAGAACUUUCCUUUUCUAGGUAAA